CCCUUAGAUGUUCUGGGCUGCACGCGCGCUACACUGAUACUUUCAGCGAGUCCACCACCUUGCCUGGGAGGGUGGGGUAACCUCUGGAAAGUGCAUCGUGAUGGGGAUCGAUUAUUGUAAUUAUUAAUCUUCAACGAGGAAUUCCUAGUAAGCAUGUGUCAUCAGCCCGUGCUGAUUACGUCCCUGCCCUUUGUACACACCGCCCGUCGCACCUACCGAUUGAAUGGUCCGGUGAAAUCUCGGGACGGCGGCUUGGUCGCUUGCGUCCGACUGCUGAAACUUGAUUAAACCAUAUCAUUUAGAGGAAGGUGAAGUCGUANCA
rnacentral:rRNA from 1 species